GCCAUCUGAUGGACCAAAAUCUAGAAUUGACCUUGUGACUGAGGAGUGUCUCAAACAUUCAGCCUCUGCUGUAGUGUACCUGAAACUGAAUCCUUGUGAACAAGAAUCCAUAGAAGAUUCUCACUUUGUUUGUGGCUGAACAGAACUUGUUCCUCAAACCUUAUUGCAUAGCCAAUACAACUCUGACCACCAAAAAAUCUCCAAGAACAAUGGAUUGAGGUCCCUUGGCCAAUGAAUAAAAAUUCCAGCCUGGAUCCAAGGCCACUUAUCUAAGAUUCUCACCAGAAAGGCCAAUAUCCCUCACACCCAUACCUGUGCGGCUUAUAGUAAGUUUAAAUAGGGUUUAGAUCCAGUGACUUUGACACAAGAUUUCAGAAUAAAUCUCAGAUUGCUGUCAAGUCUGUAGUGGAGGCCUUGGAGAUAAGAAUUUUCUUGAGUUCUCUGAAAAUAUGGAGCCCUGGAGUGCUGGGACCAUAGUCUUCUAUAGAAGGUAAUCAGGAAUAGUCCCUUACUUUCAAACUGGUUUAAGACCUUUCUCCUUUCAAAAACAUUGGUAUUUUUUUCUGCUCAGGAUGAUUAGGCCUUAGAGUUACUCAUUUGACCAAAUGGUCUCUCAGAACCAUCCCUUUUGCUUGGGGCCCAUGGAAUAUUUUACCUCAGACCAUGGAGCAUUGAUCCCUCUGUUGAAGGUUCACUGAAAUCCAAAGGGAGGGAGCAAAUCCUGGAAUCUCAUGCUACUUCCUUGUGUAAGGUCACAUGAUAUGUUGUGAAGUCAUCAGUCUGGUGCUCAUUUCUUUUUGGUUGAAUAUAGUUUUUAGGAGGCAAUCAGGCUUAGGACACCCCCAACUUUUCUUGAAUCAUGGAAUCUAUAUUCAGUCUCUUGCAGAUUCAGCUAAAGAUGUGUAUAUGCUAGACUGUGAAGUACCAUUAGAAGAUGAAGCAAUGUAGGACCUCUUGAGCUAUUUUCAAGGUAAACUGGAGGUUCACUUGGGAUGCAAUGAAGAGCCCCUGACAAGCAUAUUCUUCAAAGCCUCCCAUGGUGUAACUGAAGAUACGAUAUGUGAAGUAGCCCUAGCUUGCCUGCUCAAGAGAUCAAGAAGUGGUCAGAAGAAUUUCAAGUACAAAUUCAGAUGGCUGGAAAGAGCCCAGUCUCUCUAACAGGCAUCUGCAGAUACUACCUUUUGAGGAAUGAAUCCUUCUCAGGAGACAAUAGACGGAACCUGCACUUCAAUGAUAAUUAAAUGGCACUUCAAGAUAUCAAAUCAAAAUAUCAAAGUGAGAAUGGAAUAAAUUUAUUAGUACAGUGUUUUGCAAACAACUUCUUUCACAAACAGCCUUGGAAGGAGAAUUCUGAAAUUUUGCAUUUCAUAUUUGACUUUGCUGGUACUCUGACAAAAUCAACUCACAACUGUUUGGGGCUUUAUGGGCAAUUAAAUACUACAAACAGAGCUGAAUGAAUCAGUGCUCUGCGGUAUGUGUUAAUAUGGCUACAGUGAAGAACAACUAUGCUAAAGCUAUUCAUCUGUUUUUCAAACAGCAUCCUCAUGCAACUGUGGACUUCUGUGGGUCGUUGGAUGGAUAGGUUGAGAACACUGGCUGAGAGCUGCAAAUGCAGAAGUGGGAUGGUACAUGAUUGGAUCAUGAAAGGCCUGUGUGUAAAUCAUAAACAACUUCACAAUAUUCAAUACUUUAAUAAUUACUAGGAAGUAGACUUCUGUAAAAUGACUUCAGCAGACCAGCAUGGUAGAAAAACAGUAACUGAUUCCCUGGAGAUUUAAAUCCACUGGAUUGUGAAACAUGGACUUAGAGGUAGAGACAUGUCAGCACAUGAAGACUGGAUAAUGAAACCACUGUUGUCUCUUAAGUUUCCCUAACCCAUGGUUUGAGGCCAACAGCAACAGAUUUUUUGCACUGAGGAAUAGAAUAAAGGCCAAUUUGUUGAAAAUCCCAAUCAUAAGAAAAUACUGAAAUCAUCUGUGACAAACAUCAACUCUCAGCAUGGUUUCAGGAUGUCUGAAUGUCUGCUGUCAGCAUGGGCUUUUACUGACAUCCCUUUUAUAACUGCAGAGCUCGAAUCUGCUUCAGCCACAUCAUCAUCUCUUAAUUCUGUUGCAGGUAGAUUAGAUCACUGUGUCUGCCUAUGCAGUCUUUCUCUACAUAUAAAGACCCAAGGAACAAAUCUCACUCCAGGCAGCUGUUGAAAGUAAUUUUGAAUCGCAUUGGUGUUGUUAGUAGAUGUAAUGUCUUCAAAUCCCAGAAGACCAUGUUUGCAAAGGAGUUGAUUGAGGAAGUCUUGGGUAUUUCUUUCAUAGGGGCAGGUGGGAUUGAUGAACAGGACCGCUUUCUCAGACUUGAUCUUGCAGUUCACAUACACGUGAGCCAUGCUGACAGGGUGCAGCUUCCCAGAAUAGAAUGUUCAGUUGAAGAUACUGGUCUGUUUGAGAGUGGCAAACCCAAUGUAUUCUAAACCAUGCAUUCUAGUUGAAUCCCUAUAGAAAACAUGGAAGAAAGAAGCAUUUACUUUUUCAUUUUUGCACUAACAAUGCUACCAAACACUCACAGACAUUAGAACCUGCAUACUGAAGAUGUAUCCAUAUACAAAUGACCAGAUGUGACAUCUAGCCUUUUGAACUAAUAAAAUAAUGGAUUCUAGGACUUUAAAAAUAGUCAGCCAGUGUUAAAGUAUGUGGUCCAUAGUGUGUGAUAAUUGUGACUAGUUCGAUAGCUCUGUACAGAGAGAUUCAUCCUUUACUAUCUCUUAGGGAACACGAACUACUACACCAGGUAUCUAGAGAAGACCUUUUACUGCAGUUUGAGUCUAGCAAGAGUUUCAGUUCAGUUACAAAUUUCCAAUGGCCACAUACCCUUAGUCUGAUAUUCAUACGCUGCUUUGAUACAGUCCUACUUAUAUUCUAUAGUUCUUGUCAACCGAAUUAAAAGAGCAUUGUAUCCUAUUAAAGAAAUGCACAGUAAUUUAUUUGCAUGAGUGCAGCAGAGAGAAGGAUUAUAGGAUAAACAAGAAUUGGAAAGCAAGAUGUCCUUCCUUCUGAGGAACAAGACCAGGAAACCUGAACUACAUAAAAAUCUGAAACAAGUUGUCUGAAGUUUGUUCUUUCCUUCAAUCAUGGGGCUCCUAGUGAAGGAGCUCAGUUCUCAAGAGUUGGCAAAAAUUACCUUUAUUGCUGAGCCAGGACAAUUGCUGAAUACUUCAUUCAUGGACCUGAAGAAACUCUGUAUCCAUCCUGCUAUAAUAUGUAUAUAUCUAUGUAUCAUUCAUAGAAUGGACACUUUACUGUUGGUUUGAAAGCAACAGUUUGUCCCUGGAGAGACACAGAUUUCUUCUUUCACAAAUUAUUUCUGAUGGUGGGUCUCAUAAGUUCAUUCCGGUAUUUGCUUUACAGUAAUCAUUCAGUGAUCUGGAAGAAACACUUAUUUAAUGUUGUGAGAUCUACUAGAACAAUAUCAACCAUCAUUUUCCCUUCCCAGUUUAAUUCUGAAUCAUUCUCCACUAAAGGUCUGUGGUCUCUGAUGAAGGCAGCAUCUCCACAGACUAGUCUGAAUAUUGCUCUUAGCACUGCAUUUAUGAUACAUCAAUGUGAUUUCCUUACCACUCUCAUUCCCUAGAGAGUUUUUCAAUUCAUUUCAUCUGAUGGGUCUAAUGUACAUCAUCACCAAGGAUGAGUUUUGAGAGUUUUGCUAAAAAAUUUAAAAAAAGAAAGAAAUAAUAGGAAAGAAAAGAAAUAAAGGAAAACUGCAAGCUUAUCUCACCAAUUGACUCAGAAAUCUAAAGUUUUAUUCAGUGGAAAUAAUUGUGGAAAGUCUGAGAUGAUGAUGUUUCAACUAGAAGCACUUCUCUCUCCAGGAUAUUAGUGUAAGAGUGAAACUGCACUAUUGGUAUCCAAAGAAUGGAGGAGUUUACUCUGA